rnacentral:tRNA from 1 species
GUGGAUGUAGCUCAGCUGGUUAGAGCGCCAGGUUGUGGCCCUGGAGGUCGCGGGUUCAAGUCCCGUCAUUCACCCCA